rnacentral:rRNA from 1 species
GACGAACGCUGGCGGCGUGCUUAACACAUGCCAGUCGAACGGAAAGGCCCUGCUUUUGUGGGGUGCUCGAGUGGCGAACGGGUGAGUAACACGUGAGUAACCUGCCCUUGACUUUGGGAUAACUUCAGGAAACUGGGGCUAAUCCCGGCUAGGAGCUCCUGCUGCAUGGUGGGGGUUGGAAAGUUUCGGCGGUUGGGGAUGGACUCGCGGCUUAUCAGCUUGUUGGUUGGGUAGUGGCUUACCAAGGCUUUGACGGGUAGCCGGCCUGGGAGGGUGACCGGCCACAUUAGGACUGAGAUGCGGCCCAGACUCCUACGGGAGGCAGCGGUGGAGAAUAGUGCACAAUGGGAGGAAGCCUGAUGCAGCAAAGCCGCGUGCGGGAUGACGGCCUGCGGGUUGUAAACCGCUUUCGCCUGUGACGAAGCGUGAGUGACGGUAAUGGGUAAAGAAGCACCGGCUAACUACGUG